rnacentral:rRNA from 1 species
GACGAACGCUGGCGGCGUGCUUAACACAUGCAAGUCGAACGGAAAGGCCCUGCUUUUGUGGGGUGCUCGAGUGGCGAACGGGUGAGUAACACGUGAGUAACCUGCCCUUGACUUUGGGAUAACUUCAGGAAACUGGGGCUAAUACCGGCUAGGAGCUCCUGCUGCAUGGUGGGGGUUGGAAAGUUUCGGCGGUUGGGGAUGGACUCGCGGCUUAUCAGCUUGUUGGUGGGGUAGUGGAUUACCAAGGCUUUGACGGGUAGCCGGCCUGAGCGGGUGACCGGCCACAUUGGGACUGAGAUGCGGCCCAGACUCCUACGGGAGGCAGCAGUGGGGAAUAUUGCACAAUGGGCGGAAGGCUGGUGCAGCAACGCCGCGUGCGGGAUGACGGCCUUCGGGUUGUAAACCGCUUUCGCCUGUGACGAAGCGUGAGUGACGGUAAUGGGUAAAGAAGCACCGGCUAACUACGUG